rnacentral:lncRNA from 1 species
UCACUACUGCAGCUCUCACUACUGCAGCUCUCACUACUGCAGCUCUCACUACUGCAGCUCUGACUAACGAAGCUCCCAGUACUGCAGCUCCCACUACCGCAUCAGCGGCAAAAGAGAAAAAACCUCAGCGUAUCAUUUUAAAAGAGAUCAAAUUAAGUGUGGAUCGCCUGGCCUUCGCUCUAGAGGACAAGGCCAUGAAGAUGAUGGUUUACCCAGCAUUCACACGUGGACACUGCACAGAGGAAAACUUCUACACAGCUGCCAUGGUUCUCCGGCAACUGAGAGCAGAAACCCUCGGAAUUGAGGAAAAGGACUGGCAACUGCCCAGGCUGCUCAUGGCCUACGCCAGAUACCCAGAACCAGAUCGCCAAAUCCAGCUAAUGGACCUUCUGAGGAACAUCAAAUACUGCACCAUGAUAAGUUUCCUCAAACCACCUGCACCAGUCCUCAGUCAAAGCACACCCUGCGCUCUCGACUCCGCCGUCACUCCAUCUGACCAGACACAGGUUCUCCCUGAACCCACAGAACAGCCUUCACAUCUCCUCAGCCCCCCGAUGCAGUCACACAGCGUUUCAACCACACGCCCCUCUCAGGACUCACUUUCCUUUUGCCUCAGAUUAGAGUCUCUCGAAUAAGAGUCCCUUACAUAUGUU